rnacentral:rRNA from 1 species
UACGAAGGGGGCUAGCGUUGUUCGGAAUUACUGGGCGUAAAGCGCGCGCAGGCGGUCUUCCAAGUCAGUGGUGAAAGCCCGGAGCUCAACUCCGGAACUGCCAUUGAAACUGUUAGACUUGAGGAUGAGAGAGGUGAGUGGAAUUCCCCAGUGUAGAGGUGAAAAUUCGUAGAUAUCGGGAGGAACACCAGUGGCGAAGGCGGCGACCUGGACAGAUAUUUUGACGCUGAGGUGCGAAAAGCGUGGGGAGCAAACAGGGG